AUUGAACGCUGGAGGCAGGCUUAACACAUGCAAGUCGAGCGAGCGGCGGACGGGUGAGUAAUGUCUGGGAAACUGCCUGAUGGAGGGGGAUAACUAAUGGAAACGGUAGCUAAUACCGCAUACCAUGAGAUGUGCACAGAUGGGAUUAGCUAGUUGGUGGGGUAAUGGCUCACCUAGGCGACGCUCCCUAGCUGGUCUGAGAGGAUGACCAGCCACACUGGGACGGCGACACGGUCCAGACUCCUACGUGAGGCAGCAGUGGGGAAUAGUUCACAAUGGGCGGAAGCCUGAUAGCGCCAUGCCGCGGGUGUGAAGAAGGCCUUCGGGUUGUAAAGCUAUUUCCGCGAGGAGGCGUUACUCGCAGAAGAAGCACCGGCUAACUCCGUGCCAGCAGCCGCGGUAAUUC
rnacentral:rRNA from 1 species